rnacentral:antisense_RNA from 1 species
GAGGAAUGGGAUAUUCCGACUCCUUAAGGGCCAGGCGCACAUAAGGUGUGACCUUUUCAUUCCCGUUGUUAUGGAGGGCCACAUCUGCCAGAGCCUGGAGUCUGCGAAGGCCGGGACCCGGUUCCCCGGCCCACCGUGGGGGGGGGUGUGCAAACCCGAGAGAACUGGGUUGCAAAUUCGUGAAGAAUCAGCAUCAUGUUUGGCAGCUGAGUAUUGGAGCCAGGAGCCUGCCAUGAGGUUUUGAGAACAGAGUGCUGUUUUAGAGCUGGCAGCAGCAUCUCAGCCCAAGAGAAGGUUAUAUUCCCAGAGGAUGUCAGUCCCAAGGACCAGUAGCUGCCAUCAGUUUGGAUUCUGAAAACUAACCGGCAUCAACACUGGGUGUAGAAACAUGCUUGCCUUAUGUAUCAGAGGACAUGCUCAGCAGAUCCAAGAGAUAUAUUUGGCAACUUUUUCUAGAAAAGGCACAUUGGGUAUCAUUCAUUACAUUCUUGAGUUUUUUUGGUUUUUUUUUUUUUUUUUUUUUGAGACAGUCUUGCUGUAUUGCCCAGGCUGGAGUGUGGUGGCACAAUCACAGCUCAUUGCAUCCUCAAUCACCCAGGCCUAAGCAAUCCUCCCACCUUGUAGCUGGGACUAUAGCUCACAGCACACCUGGCUAAAAUUUUUUUUUUGUUAAGACGGAUUCUCUAUGUUGCCCAGGCUGGUCUCAGGCUCCUGGGCUCAGAUGGUCCUCCUGCCUCAGCUUCCAAAGGCACAGGCCAAG